rnacentral:rRNA from 1 species
AUUGAACGCUGGCGGAAUGCUUUACACAUGCAAGUCGAACGGCAGCACGGGGGCAACCCUGGUGGCGAGUGGCGAACGGGUGAGUAAUACAUCGGAACGUGCCCAGUCGUGGGGGAUAACGUAGCGAAAGCUACGCUAAUACCGCAUACGUCCUGAGGGAGAAAGCGGGGGAUCGCAAGACCUCGCGCGAUUGGAGCGGCCGAUGCCGGAUUAGCUAGUUGGUAGGGUAAAGGCCUACCAAGGCGACGAUCCGUAGCUGGUCUGAGAGGACGACCAGCCACACUGGAACUGAGACACGGUCCAGACUCCUACGGGAGGCAGCAGUGGGGAAUUUUGGACAAUGGGGGCAACCCUGAUCCAGCCAUUCCGCGUGAGUGAAGAAGGCCUCGG